GAUGAACGCUGGCGGCGUGCUUAACACAUGCAAGUCGAACGAAGCACUUAAGAUUGAUUCUUCGGAUGACGUCUUUUGUGACUUAGUGGCGGACGGGUGAGUAACGCGUGGGUAACCUGCCUCACACAGGGGGAUAACAGUUAGAAAUGACUGCUAAUACCGCAUAACCCGAUAGGAUCGCAUGAUCCAGACGGAAAAGAUUUAUCGGUGUGAGAUGGACCCGCGUCUGAUUAGCUAGUUGGUGAGGUAACGGCCCACCAAGGCGACGAUCAGUAGCCGGACAGAGAGGGUGAACGGCCACAUUGGGACUGAGACACGGCCCAAACUCCUACGGGAGGCAGCAGUGGGGAAUAUUGCACAAUCGGGGAAACCCUGAUGAAGCGACGCCGCGUGAGGGAAGAAGUAUUUCGGCAUGUAAAGCUCUAUCAGCAGGGAAGAAAAUGACGGUACCUGACGAAGAAGCCCCGGCUAACUACGUG
rnacentral:rRNA from 1 species